AUUGAACGCUGGCGGCAGGCCUAACACAUGCCAGUCGAGAGGAUGAAGGGAGCUUGCUCCUGGAUUCAGCGGCGGACGGGUGAGUAAUGCCUAGGAAUCUGCCUGGUAGUGGGGGAUAACGUCCGGAAACGGGCGCUAAUACCGCAUACGUCCUGAGGGAGAAAGUGGGGGAUCUUCGGACCUCACGCUAUCAGAUGAGCCUAGGUCGGAUUAGCUAGUUGGUGGGGUAAAGGCCUACCAAGGCGACGAUCCGUAACUGGUCUGAGAGGAUGAUCAGUCACACUGGAACUGAGACACGGUCCAGACUCCUACGGGAGGCAGCAGUGGGGAAUAUUGGACAAUGGGCGAAAGCCUGAUCCAGCCAUGCCGCGUGUGUGAAGAAGGUCUUCGGAUUGUAAAGCACUUUAAGUUGGGAGGAAGGGCAGUAAGUUAAUACCUUGCUGUUUUGACGUUACCAACAGAAUAAGCACCGGCUAACUUCGUG
rnacentral:rRNA from 1 species